GGUGGAGGAGUGUCCACCACUGUCUGCAUGUCCACGGCCGUGGAUCAUAUAGGGCCGGAGGUGGCGGUGGCCAGGGAGCAGGCUGGGGCAGUAGGGCCCUGCGGAGCACUGAGGUGCGCAGCCCAGAAAAGGGGGUCCGAGGAGGGGGCGGGCAGAAGGCACUCCUGGCAGUGUUGAAUCCAAAGCUAGAAUCACAGGAGCAAGAAGCCUUGGGUAGGAUUUCACCCACAUGCCUGUGACGUGUCCCUGGGACACCUGCUGAAUGCCAACAGAAACAGUAAACAGGAAAUGCUUGCUGGGGCUCGGUGGGCGAUGCCUGGCCUGGGCCCGGGCAGGAGGGUCUGGCACAGGGCUGCCUGUGCUGAGCACUGUGUGUCUGGGACUCUAUUAAGGGGCUGGGGUGGUCUCAGAGUCCCCUCCUCCUGAGCUCAGCUCACUAAGCUCGCCCUAGGAGGACAGGAAGGGUGGAGGCCUCCACGCCAGGAAGCUGGGCUUCCAUUUCCACCUGCUCUGACAUAAAGCAGGGCUAGGGUGCCCUAGACCUGCACUGACACCAGAGGGGUCCCUCUGGGCCUCAGUCUCCCCAGCUGCACAGAGUAGGGCCACUGGGUGUUUGCUUAGGGCCUGGCCCCCUCCAACAUUCUGGGGCUUUUGGUAUAGAGUCUGGGGCCAGAGAGAGGCGUGGGGUAAUGACAAAGACUGUGGCCACCAGUCAGGGACUCUUGGAGUCCAAGGUCCUCACCCUCAGCAGCGCCUUCUGUGCUGGGCCCCAUCAGCAAUGUGGAGUGCAGGGGUGUGGUUCUUGGGCUCAGAUGAGGAAGCCAAGGGACUUGCCAGGCCCUGCAGGCGGCAGUGCUGGGAUGACCUUGGGCUGAUGUGCCGCAGGCCUGUCCACCUAUAGGAGCUGAAUGGGUGAUGGGUCAGGCAGCCUGAAGGCCCCCGCCUCAUCCCAGGAUGCCUGCCGGGUCCUCUCCCAAGACUGGUCACUUGUCCCUCCCGGUCUCCCUGAUGCUCCCCAGGGAGGGAUGGCCGGCUUCAGGACUCGGGUUCUGACUGCUGAGUGCUCCUCUGCGCCUCGCAAUGUCCGGUCCUGAGCCUGUGCUCCACAAGCCCCCACAGAUGUCCCAGAACCAGGCCACCCCCCAGGAGCAGGGGGAACAAAGGCAGCCUGGGAGUGGGAGGGGCCCGGCCUACAGCCCCCAGCAUGAGGGCAGCUGCCAGGGAAGGCACUCAGCUCCGAUUCCAGGCGCAAAGGGGCCUACAGCUGGGCACAGGUGCCUUGGACGGCCCACUGGACUCCCGUUCCCGUCUUCCACAUAGGAGCAUGUCAAAGCCACUUCUGGACUGGAGCUGCAGCAAAGGGCUGUGCUCCGACUGCCCACACCCAAAGACCUGGCCAGCUCGACAACCAGGAGUCAGCUGGGACAGUGCUUUAGUCCCCCAGGCUCCUGCCCCUCCACAGCCAGCACCAGGGGACCUGUGGGAACUGACUGGGUGAGUGAGAUCCUUGGCAUGGGUGUGGCAUGCCUGUUGGCAUCCUGGGGAAGUAUCAGUGCCAGGGCCUUCAGGAAAGCCAGCCGAUUCUGUACUCAGUUUUCUCGUCUGUAAAAUGGGCAGGGUGUUCUCCAGGGGCCUGUGGCUCCUGUCCUCAGCUGGCUCGGCCAGCACUGCCCGCAGUGCCCACCCCUCACCCCUCAGAGGCAACCUCCUGGGCCCCAGCAGCCCCUGCUCUCCUGCCUGGGCCCUUUGAGCUUGGGGUCCCCCAGGAAUCUUGCUCUCAAGCCACUCACAUCUGUGCACACAGGAGGCAGAUAGGCGGGGACAGGCAGCGCCUGGGCCAGUGAAGAGCAGCCUGCCCCCUGCUGCUGGGCGCAGGCGGCAGUGCCAAGCUGUACUUGGAGCAGAACGGGGACAACAGGCACGUGGAAGGUGGGGGAGGCAGGCUGCACGCGGAGGCCACAGCCCAGGGCCAGGCACAGAUGGGGAGACUGAGGCCAUGAAGAUGUUCUCAUGCAGCCGGAGGCUGACUUCCAGGCCAUGUCCAGCACUGGACAAGGACCAAGAUCAAGCUCAACAUGGAGAAGCCCCUGCUGCACAUGCCAGACUGUCUGGGGGAAGCUGUCACCAGGCAUGUCCAGCUAGGACACCUGCCAGCUCUCUGACCCACUGUGCUUGGGACCGGUCUCCACACUAGCUCUGAUGUUGGGGCUCAGUGGCACCAACUACAAAAUGGAAAGCAGACCCUGCCUCCGGCUCCCCAAGUGUCUUCUGGCUGCCUUCCGUCCAUCAAGGGCUCCCUGUUGGGCCCUGGUCAGAUUGGCCUCCUGGCAGCCCAGGCCACACACCCUGCCUGGGGAGAUGUCUGCCUCCACUGUGAGGCUGGCCAGGGCACAUCCCCAGGGGAGGGGGGCAGCUCUCCAGGCCACCGUCCCCUCCCUUCUCGUGCUGGACCUGGAGUACUCAGAGCAGCUCCGGCUCAGGGAAGGGGCAGUGGAGAGAGCUGUGGU
rnacentral:lncRNA from 1 species